CGUACAGGCAUGAAACUUGGUAAAUAGGUAGUACUUCAUGCCCCUGCUUAGGCAAGCAAGAUGGGCCCAAUCAGUCUAAUGGUGAUGCUCUAUUAGAAGCUUUUAUACUUUGUUUUGGUAUCUCUUGAUCUGUGAGCCCUACAAACAAAAUUCUUUUUCCCCCACUGAUUCCUUGGUCAAUUAACCUUGGGAUAUUUUUCUUAGAAUUCACUGAUGUGUGGCAGCCAUAUUGUUUUCAAAUGUCAACAUGUUUUUGGUCAUUAUUGCAGUUCUAGUUUGACCUCAAGUUUGUGGAAAGAGGCCAUAAAUCCUGGACUAGUUUGCAAAAGUAGGUUUCGCAUAUUAUGAUUUAUAACCCUACUAAAUCACGUUACAGCUGGCAUUUGACAGGGCUACCAAUAAGCUGUCUUUGCGAAACUUGAGUGGUGCAUUCAUUUAGGGACUCAGUAGUAACUGGUGCAGUCUCACACAAAUUGACCACUGGGGGGGCCACACACAAACAAGCAUAACUCUUGGAAAAUAGGAUGUACAGUGAAACCUCUUUCUGAUUCAGUUCCUGAAACACACAAGGGAAACCACAAUGUUCAUAUCUCCAACUCAGCCCCAUUUAAAGAGACUCCGUGGCUAAAAUUCAAAAUUUAGUUAUCAGUACCAUCUUUUGGGGGGCAUUGGGUCAUUGAUCCACCCAAAACUAAAGCUAUGCCCCAAUCCCAAGCAAAUUUGAAAUUGGAAAAUUAAAAAAUUAAACUGCAUUCAGAUUGCAUUUUCAGUAUAAAAAGUCCAUUUUGCACUAUAAAUCAAAAAAGCAAAAACAUUAAAGGCAGCCAGUGACUGUAAAAACCUGUUGGAAUUUGCUUUGGCUGAAUUAAAAAACAACAACAAAAGUUUAAAAAAAAUAAUAAAAUCAGGUUUUGACCAAAAUGUAUAUUUUUUCCCCCUCAUAAUAUACUUUGAAAGCUCUACUUUAGCAGGUUUGGCAAGCACAGUGGUAAAAACUGCUAGUUUGCUGAAAAUGGUUAAAUUUGAUUGUCAGCAUGCUUUUCUCAUGCUUUCAUCGGGUUUGUGGAGAAAUACAUGCCAUAGUGAAACAAAAUUAUUUCAGUUUGUGAUCAGAUACUGGCAGUCAAAAUGUCUGCAAUGCAUCUGCAUCACAUUUGACCAGGUGAAGGGUUUUGCCAGGCCACCACACAUUUAAAUUCUGCACUCUAUCUUGAAUCAGUGACCAUGGUAUUUAAUUGAAACUUCAAUGGCUUCUUUUUAUAUUGAUACUAUAGUCUAAUAUACUAUUACAUCUCACUUUUUUAGCAGCUCCUGGUCUCUGAACACAAACAAAACUUUUCAAACUUUUUUGAGAAGUUUUACAGUGGGAACUACUGCAAUGAUUAAAUUUUUGAUACAUUUCCAACCACAGCAUAUGAAUGAACUGUGGCACUGGGAAGAGCAUAGAGCUCAAAUUCAAAACUUAUUAGGCUUACUGACUAGCAGGAGACCACAGAAUAAUGAGCAGGUCUUCCCAAGUUAAACUGAGCUAAGUAACAGUUCAUACAAGAAGCAGGAUAUGUUUUAACAACAAUGGUAUAUGCCAAAAUAUAAGGUUAGCUAUUGGUCUAUACAGUAGAGUUAGCUAACUAACUUGCCUCAAUACUUUCUAAAGCUGAAAGGUCACGGAACUACCUCUGGCAAAUGUUUUAUGGAUGGAAUAGCAGUUAUUUUUUUCCCAGUAGUUCUGCCUUAAGAUCUGGCUCAUAGUUCAACACUAGCAGGGUGGAUCUUAAUUUAUUCAUACAGGUUUAACACAUGAUUGGUUGCAUGACAUUCUGAAGACGUGUGCAAUCUUUGGGGUGUGGCUAUUCAUAUGGGGUGGAGUUAAAUUCAAAUAUGUGUUUCACAGGAACUGUAAGUCUGACCAAGCCAAAAAUUCAUAAACUAUGUCAUUGUGCCAAUUUAUUAAGGUGGAUUCCUGAUGAUUAUAUAAAAAACGUAUAUCUGACUGGCCAUUCGUAUGUUAGCAUGUCAGCAUGCACCCAUUGAGCUAUCAUUACAAAACUUCAAUCAUAUGUUUAUUUAGGGACUCUUUAGUAACCUAUACAACCUCAGACAAAUUGGUCAGUGGGUGAGGAUAUACAUUUUCUUGAAAUUAAAAGCAACUAUGUUGUUGGCUGUUGACUAUAUAAAAACACCUCUUGUACUUUUCAUUAUGGCCAUCAGAAAUUAUUAGUGCUUUGCAUCCACAGGAAUGUCCCCAUUGCUCUACAACACAUGCUUUUUGAAUUUAACCUUCCAGACAUUGAAAUUCAAGUUCACGAUAUGUCAAAUUCGGACAGGCUGCUAUGUGCUAUGUGACCGACUAACAUUGAGGAUGCUAGGUUUGUCAACUGGAGGUGCACUGGUACACUGGCAGUUCCUUUGGGCGUACUGUAACUUUCAAAACUAUUAGCGGCUAGACCCCAAAUACCACAGAUACAGGUGGAAGGGGCACAAGCUUUAGCUCCCUGGAGAUUGAGACUUUUCUCAUGAAAGAGGUCUGCCUGGUAGUGAUGCCCUACUGGAGGGAGAAGGAGUCACCACAGACACCUCCCUCACUGCCUGGAGGUUAGCCUCACUGAGAGCAACUUGCCUACCCGGAAUGCACAGGUCCUUUUGACUGAUGGGAUCUCAACUCAUUGCUAACUGUGGGUCUCCCCAGUGGAGCUAGCCUGUCUGCUGGGACAGGACACACUGACAUGUGACUGGCCUUACUGUCUACCAUAUGCAUUUCUGCCUCCAUUGCUGAUUCUUUUUUUUUUUUCACAAAAUUCUCCAGCUUGGCAACUUCUCCAACUAAGAACUUUUUGUGGCACGGAGAUGAUCAGCAAGAUCUUAUUAUUACUAUUUCACCCCUCUUAACUGCCACAGACAGUUUCUUACACCUGAAUAUCCUAUCUUGCACCUGUGCAUGCAUGCCAAGACUUUCAACAAGGUCAUUACGUGACUGACAUAGUAUUUGCUAUACAUACCUUCAUGCCACGUCACUUAUUUUUCUUUUCUCUUCUUGUCGACAUACACAUGCCAUACCGCAUGCAGAUUUUGGAGCUGUCAGACUCCAGCCCAAGCUACAAUUUUUCUGUCAUCCAAAGCUAUGAUAGACUUGUUUUCUUAUCCUGCAUUGCAAAAAUUGAUAGCUUAGCAAGUGAAGAUAUUUUGAGUAAGGGAAAAGUUAUCAAAUAUUUCUUAUAAUGAGAUUGUUAUCUAACAAAUAUAAGACAAUUAAGCCUAUUUCUAGACAUAGUUUCUAAUUUCAUGGUUAAAAUAAUUUUAUUAUACUCUAUUUAAUAAAGAGAAAUACAGUCAGGUUCAUAAAUAUUGGGACAGUGACACAGUUUUGGUAAUUUUGCCUCUGUACACCACCACAGUGAAUUUGAAAUGAAGCAGUCAAGAUGUGACUGAAGUGUACUUUUAAGACUUUCAGCUUUAGUUCAAGGGGUUUAACAAAAAUAUUGCAUUAACUGUUUAGGAAUUACAGCCAUUUUUUACAGAGUUCCUCCAUUUUCACAGGCUCAAAAGUAAUGGGACAAACCAAUAUAAUCAUAAAUAUUAGGAUUAUUUUUAUUACUUGGAGGUAAAUCCUUUGCAGUCAAUGACUACCUGAAGUCUGGACCCCAUGGAGAUCACCAAAUGCUGAGUUUCCUCCCUUGAGAUGAUUUGCCAGGUCUCAUCAAUAAGGUGUUUCUGUCCACAAAACUGCCGCUCACUGGAUGUUUUUUCUUUAUUGCACCAUUCUGAAUAAACUCCAGAGACUGUUUUGCAUGACAAUCCCAGGAGAUCAGCAGUUAUAGAAACACUGAAACCAGCCUGUCUGGCAGCAAGAGUCAUACCAUGGUCAAAACCACUAAAAUCACAUUUUUUCCCCAUUCAGAUGGUUGAUGCAAUCAUUACCUGAAGCUGCUGGCUCAUAUCUGUAUGAUUUUAUGCACUGUUACCACACGAUUGACAGAUUAGAUAAUUGCAUGAAUGAGUAGGUGUAAAGGAGUUUCUUAUAAAGUGCUCUGUGAGUGUAUAGUAUAUUAACCAUUUGGGGUUUGUUUUAUGAAUUCUUUUUCAAGGCACCGUAUAUACUUGCAUUCAUGCAUUCCCCUAGUGGGGGAAAUUAGGGAAACUUUAAUGCAUGUAUAUACAGUGCCUUGCAAAAGAAUUCGACCCCCCCUUAAAAGUCAUCAGUUUCGUCUGGAUUACUAAUGAUAGUUGCACAGAUUGUUCUAGCCAUUAUUUUUAUUGCAAACCAAUAUGCUCUUAAAACAAGUUUUCAAAGUCAAACUUAUUUGUAUCAUCAGAUCUUUAAAAAAAAAAAAUAUAUAUAUAUAUAUAUAUAUAUAUAUUAUUUAAAUUUAGCAUGCCUAUUGAUUGAAGCAAUAUCUUGUACUGAUAUUUACAAUGGACAUAAAACUGCACACUUCUGUUGAAAGGGCAGGUUUUUGUGAAGAAAAAAAUGACGCUAAGAUGAAUCAUGUCAGAUCUUUUUUUAUCUUUAAUGUGCAGUUGGAAAGUAUACAAAUACAUUGAAAAAUAAUCAGAAACCUUUAUAUCAAAAAAAAAAAAGAAGAAAAAUAAACUUACGAUAACUUA